AGGACGAACGCUGGCGGCGUGCUUAACACAUGCAAGUCGAGCGGAAAGGCCCUUCGGGGUACUCGAGCGGCGAACGGGUGAGUAACACGUGAGUAACCUGCCCCUAGCUCCGGGAUAGCUCCGGGAAACCGGAAUUAAUACCGGAUGUGAUCACGGCCGACAUUGGCCACGAUGGAAAGAUUUAUCGGCUAGGGAUGGGCUCGCGGCCUAUCAGCUUGUUGGUGGGGUAAUGGCCUACCAAGGCGACGACGGGUA
rnacentral:rRNA from 1 species